rnacentral:rRNA from 1 species
AACGUAGGGGACAAGCGUUAUCCGGAUUUACUGGGCGUAAAGCGCCCGUAGGCGGCCUGACAAGUUGGACGUGAAAGCUCCUGGCUUAACUGGGAGAGGCCGUUCAAAACUGUCAAGCUAGAGUCUGGAAGAGGAGAGCGGAAUUCCCGGUGUAGUGGUGGAAUGCGUAGAGAUCGGGAGGAACACCAGAGGCGAAGGCGGCGACCUGGACAGAUACUGACACUCAACUGCGAAAGCGUGGGGAGCAAACAGG